rnacentral:rRNA from 1 species
AUCAUGGCUCAGGAUGAACGCUAGCUACAGGCUUAACACAUGCAAGUCGAGGGGCAGCAUGAUCGAAGCUUGCUUUGAUUGAUGGCGACCGGCGCACGGGUGAGUAACGCGUAUCCAACCUUCCCCAUAGUAGAGAAUAGCCCGGCGAAAGUCGGAUUAAUGCUCUAUGUUGUAUCAUGAGGACAUCUGAAUAAUACCAAAGGUUCACCGCUAUGGGAUGGGGAUGCGUCUGAUUAGGUUGUUGGCGGGGUAACGGCCCACCAAGCCCACGAUCAGUAGGGGUUCUGAGAGGAAGGUCCCCCCACAUUGGAACUGAGACACGGUCCAAACUCCUACGGGAGGCAGCAGUGAGGAAUAUUGGUCAAUGGACGGAAGUCUGAACCAGCCAAGUAGCGUGCAGGAUGACGGCCCUAUGGGUUGUAAACUGCUUUUAUACAGGGAUAAAGUGAGGGACGUGCCCCUUUUUGUAGGUACUGUAUGAAUAAGGACCGGCUAAUUCCGUGCCAGCAGCCGC